rnacentral:rRNA from 1 species
UACGUAGGGGGCGAGCGUUGUCCGGAUUUAUUGGGCGUAAAGCGCUCGCAGGCGGUUCGUCGCGUCGUGCGUGAAGGCCUUCGGCUCAACCGGAGGAGGUCGUGCGAUACGGGCGAACUGGAGGUAGGUAGGGGGACGCGGAAUUCCCGGUGUAGUGGUGGAAUGCGUAGAGAUCGGGAGGAACACCGGCGGCGAAGGCGGCGUCCUGGACCUGGCCUGACGCUCAGGAGCGAAAGCGUGGGGAGCGAUCCGG